GACGAACGCUGGCGGCGUGCUUAACACAUGCAAGUCUAACGGAAAGGCCCUGCUUUUGUUUGUUGCUCGAGUGUCUAACGUGUGAGUAACACUUGAUUAACCUUCCCUUUACUUUUGUAUAACUUCAGGAAACUGUUGCUAAUACCUGAUAGGAUCUCCUUCUGCAUGGUUGGGGUUGGAAAGUUUCUGCGGUUGGGGAUUGACUCGCGGCUUAUCAGCUUGUUGGUGGGGUAGUGGCUUACCAAGGCUUUGACGGGUAGCCGGCCUGAGAGGGUGACAGGCAACAUUGGGAAGGAGAAACGGCCAAGAAUACUAAGGGAGGAAGAAGUGGGGAAUAUUGCAAAAGGGGAGGAAGCCUGAUGAAGAAACGAAGAGUGCGGGAUGAAGGACUUCGGGUUGUAAAACGCUUUCGCAUGUGAAGAAGAGUGAGUGACGGUAAUGGGUAAAGAAGAAACGGAUAAAUACGUG
rnacentral:rRNA from 1 species